CCUACGGGAGGCAGCAGUGAGGAAUAUUGGUCAAUGGACGAGAGUCUGAACCAGCCAAGUAGCGUGAAGGAUGACUGCCCUAUGGGUUGUAAACUUCUUUUAUAUGGGAAUAAAACGUUCCACGUGUGGGAUUUUGUAUGUACCAUAUGAAUAAGGAUCGGCUAACUCCGUGCCAGCAGCCGCGGUAAUACGGAGGAUGCGAGCGUUAUCCGGAUUUAUUGGGUUUAAAGGGAGCGUAGGUGGAUUGUUAAGUCAGUUGUGAAAGUUUGCGGCUCAACCGUAAAAUUGCAGUUGAAACUGGCAGUCUUGAGUACAGUAGAGGUGGGCGGAAUUCGUGGUGUAGCGGUGAAAUGCUUAGAUAUCACGAAGAACUCCGAUUGCGAAGGCAGUUCACUGGACUGCAACUGACACUGAGGCUCGAAAGUGUGGGUAUCAAACAGGAUUAGAUACCCUUGUAGUC
rnacentral:rRNA from 1 species